AUUGAACGCUGGCGGCAGGCCUAACACAUGCAAGUCGAACGGUAACAGGAAACAGCUUGCUGUUUCGCUGACGAGUGGCGGACGGGUGAGUCAUGUCUGGGAAACUGCCUGAUGGAGGGGGAUAACUACUGGAAACGGUAGCUAAUACCGCAUAACGUCUCAAGACCAAAGAGGGGGACCUUCGGGCCUCUUGCCAUCGUAUGUGCCCAGAUGGGAUUAGCUAGUAGGUGGGGUAACGGCUCACCUAGGCGACGAUCCCUAGCUGGUCUGAGAGGAUGACAGGCCACACUGGAACUGAGACACGGUCCAGACUCCUACGGGAGGCAGCAGUGGGGAAUGUUGGACAAUGGGCGCAAGCCUGAUGCAGCGAUGGCGCGUGUAUGAAGAAGGCCUUCGGGUUGUAAAGUACUUUCAGCGGGGAUGAAGGGAGUAAAGUUAAUACGUUUGCUCAUUGACGUUACCCGGAGAAGAAGCACCGGCUAACUACGUG
rnacentral:rRNA from 1 species